rnacentral:tRNA from 3 species
GUUUCCGUAGUGUAGUGGUUAUCACGUCCGCCUCACACGCGGAAGGUCCCCGGUUCGAGCCCGGGCGGAAACA